AUUUCCAGGAUGGGAGAAAAACAUGCUCCGGUUUAUUGGCAUUUCUAUAAACCAAUCACAAUGAUCUUGGGCGGCACUAAACACCAGACAGAACAAUGGUGCCUCGAAGAAGGCACCAUUGAGAAGGAACCUGUUUUGGUGGAACGUUCAAAGGUUGUUUUACUCGUGCAGCCGAAAACUCUGAUUGGACGGAUAGUCUAGCUAGCUGUUUGGAUUAACCCUGCAGAGAUCUGAGGAGCAGUUAACCACAGUCCUCAUCCACCGGAGUUUAUAAUGUCAACACAAAGAAAGCCCGAGGCAACGGACAUCCGGCCUAAAUGAGUGAAAUCUUGUUGGCUUUCCGUCUGCAACGGAGCAAUCCCGGAAGCGGAACGUUGGAUAUAGACUAGUUGGUGAUUAACAUUUGUGGUUAUUAGAGCCCGACCGAUACAAAUAUUUGGUUAUUUAAAAAUCUGAUUUUGACAAUAUAUCGGCCAAUAUAUAUGUAAAAAAAAAUGUUUACGUUACAGAACAUAAACAGAUUUCCCAAGCAUUAGUUAUUUGUAGUUAUUUAAGAGUUAUCACAAAAAUGAUGAUAAUUUAUUUUAUUGUCACAACAGAACAGAGGAACAUCAAAAUAUAUUAAAUGUUUGAUAAAUAAAAUGUAUAAAAAAUACUAACUUAAGGUAUGAAACUUAGUCCUUUGAACAAAAACACAUUAAAAAAAAAAUGUGUUGCCAACAGGGACGUUGUAGAGCGCCCUUUGGUGGACAAACUAUCCAACGGCACAUUCAAAACAUGGUUGACCGUUUGUUUUUUUAUUUAAAUAAUCAUUCAUCAGAAUCAUUUAUUUGUCAUUAAAAAUGAUUUUGAUGAAUUUUUAUUUUCGGCCAUUAUAAAUGCGUAUACAAAUAGAUUGGGAAAUGCCUAAUAUCAGCCAAUAAUAUCCGUCGGGCUCUAGUGGUUAUGAUGUUAUAACUUGGCUGGUUGUUUCGCGAACGUGAAAUGUUCAUGCUUCAACAUUUAGGGAAAGAUACAAAUUUUUGGGGGAUUAGAUGAGAACAUCGAUACCACUCUCAUUUUUGUCCGUUAGUAGACCCUUAGCUUAUCUAAAGACCCGUAGCAGGGGGAAAUAGGGGUUAUUUGCACCACACAUGGUCACUUGUGAACUUUCCAGGUCCUGGUAGGCGCCUUUGCACAGAGCCAAGCUAACGUUUCCUGCUGCUUACUGUAUUUAAGCUGCUAAGCGAACGGUCACCUAGGUGUAGCUAGCUUCUUAUUUAGUGUACAAAAGUGGGGGUGGCAUCAAUGUUCUUACGUAACUCUCAGCAAGAAAGCAAAUAUGCUUGUUUCCCAAAAUGUCCACCAAUUCUUUUUUUAAGUCAAUAUUGUAUACACUUGUACACUGUGUGGAUAUUUAGUUUUUUAAGAAAUCUCUUUCACACUUUGCUAAAUGCCUCAGUUUUAACAGAAAAAUAAAUGACAAUUGCUAAACGUUAGAUAAUGACUUCUGAUCGCACUUUAAACCACAUCAUUUAACCAAGUAGCUAUGAUAUAUGAAAUGAUGAAGAUGCAAAUAUUCCCUGUAGCAGGGAGGAUUGAAUUAAAAUUAUAAUUCUAAUAAAAAAAUUUAAAAAAGCAAAAGCAUGCUAUACAAUCAAAGUCAAUCAGAACAAAUGUUUGACACAAAGAAACUGAACUUUUCUUUUGCUUUAACGUGUUUUGCAUGUUUCAUAAGCUUUGGAUACAUUUGUCUUUUGAGGCAUAAGUUUGGGAGAAACACUAUCCUGAUUUUGUAUGUAGUAAUUUACUGUGGUUCAUUGCAUGCAGUAGCAUAUUGUACUACGCCUGGGAAUAUGAGCAACGGUGCAAUGGUUUACACCGCUAUUUAGUAUAUUGAUUGAAUUUGUAUUUCUGUAAUGGAUCAAAGUGGUUAGUUAGUUUCUGAAUGUGCACACUCCAUGCAUUAUUUCUAAGGUUGUGGUUCCGUUAGAGUUGUUAGCAUCCUGAACAUUUAGCAUAAGAGCUAAGGGUAUGAUUUGUUGUGAAGGAAGGGAAUUAAACCCUAAUGCUAAUGGAAAGACACACAACCACAUUUUUGCACUUGAACUUGAGAUAGAAAAGCGAUCAUAGAGUUCUGCUUGUCUGAAAACAGUGUCACAGCCUCAGAAACGGAUGUACGUAAAUUUUUUUUUCAUCCCUGCAUUAUUAUUCUGCAUUCAUACAGGCUCCACUCCUCUGCCAGCCACACUAGGUUGAGAGGCAGACGACAAGAAGGUGAAGUAGAAACUUCAGACUUUAGAAAAUCAAUUAAAAAAAGCUCUUUUUUAAAAAAUUUGAUCCAAGGCUGAGAAAACAAAUUAUUGACAAAGUACAAUUAAAACCAACUGCGUUUUUUAUGUUCUUGACUGACAAAAUAAACAGUCAUAGUUUAGUUUUAUGAUUUUUAUUUUAAAUUAAUAGUGGAUAUGUAGAGUUUUGGAGUUGUGCUCGUUUACUUUAGGCCUGACUGUAAAUGUCUCCUUAUUUCAUAAGGCGAUUUUGACUGACUGAACCCAAAGAAAAUAAUUUAGAAGUUGUGCAGUACCAGGAGGAGGAAGUCAUUGUUAAAGGAAUAGUUUGAGAUGUUGAGACAUAGACUACCUUACUUUCUGGCAAAGCACAUUUCCUGAAAUGUUGAACAUUUGUUUUACAUCACAUGAUAUGUGCGAUUGUGUAGCAUGUGCUAUUUAUCAUCUUAGCUUUGACUUUUUUGCAGUUGACAGUUAUCAACAUUCCUCAAAGCAGCAGCCAUUUACAUUUGCAUGAAGUUCAUGUAGUGCACUUUUCCUCCUGUACAGUCCAUGAAUUUCUUUUUUUUUUAAUUCUGUAUUGUAAUGUAAUAAUUUGCUGUGCAUCUGUAAUUCCAUCAUAUAAGCUAUUUGACAGUUACCAAGUUUUUUUUUUGUAAUUUAACAAAAAUGUGUUUUUC